UGGUGAUGGUGUGCCUGCCAUACCUGAUUUUUGACCGUCAGAUGUGCAUCCAACGCAUGGAAGCUAACUAUGGUUUAUGUUUGUAAAAAAAACCUUAUUCUCUUCGUUCAGCUCCAGCCAUCCCCUUCUUAUCCAAAUCCUAUGAGCGAAGGCAUUGGAUCCUUCACGAAAACGAAAGAAAACAGUGGAACCAAAGACGGCAGCGCCGCUGCCGCUCCACACACCGCCGGCGCCGCCGGCGCUGCCGAUGCAGUCCGCUCCUAACACCCUCUUCCGCCUCCUCACUACAGCAACAUCCCCACCGCUCACUACCACCUCCCCUCUCCGACCCUCCCCGAUUUCUCCCCCCGCCUGCCCCGUCUCCUCCGACGCCGACGUCGGCAAACACGCAGCCGCCGCCGCUCAUCCCCGGAGUCCGCGACGCCUCCUCCCUGGUCCUCUGAGGUAGCAGCCCCUGCGCCCACCGAUUCCCCCUCCUCCCGGUUGUCUCCCCUACCCCAUCUACUCCGACGCCGAUGUCGGCAAGUACGCCGCCGGCGCCGUCCGCCUCUGAUUCCGCGACCCCUCUCUUACCUUAUUCUCUGACGCAGCAGCCCAGCCGCCCACCAUCUCCCCAUCCUUCCCGGCGUCUCCUCCUUCCCCCACCCCAUCUCCUACGACGCCGACGUUGGCAAGUACGCCGCCGGCACGUUCCGUCCCCCGAGCUCGUGACGCCACUCCUGCCUCAUCCUCUGAUGCAGAAACCCGGCCGCCCACCACCUCCUCCUCCUGGCCGGCUCUUCAGCGACGCCGGCGCCAGCUUCCCUGCGACGCGCUCCAGGCCAUUCCCUUCGAGUACUUGCUGGUCCACACCCGUUUCCUCCAGUAAACUCUGUUUCAGAGACGGCUGGUCUGGUGUGAUGGUUGCCUCUGCUGUUGCCUCUCCUUCCUACCCGUCCCGCCUCCAAAUUUCAAAUUUUCUGUCACUCAAAGUUCAAAUCCGCGCGCCCAGUUCGAACUGUCCAGAAACUACUCCUGCAGCCCAAUAUAAAUAAGUGGGCAGGCAUAUGGGACCCAGGCUGCUCAAACUACACCCCCAAGAAGUCACACAUUGGUCAUGCCAACCUUCAGAUCGAACGGAGUGUGAGGAAGUGUGAUUCACUGCUCUUCACCAUCUAAUCUUCUUCGUCAAGGGCAAGUCCAACAGAACUUGCUCCAGUGGCACGCCAAUUCCUCAUACAAGUAUAUUUAUACGCGAGCCAAUAGAUAUGACAAGUUCAAGUCAGUCUUCUUUGGAUGAUGAAGUGACAAACGAAUCAUCUACGAUUUUUCCUACUAAUGGCAUGCUCAUAUCAACUGAGGGCUUGGAGCGAGGAGAAAGCUCAAAAGGACGAAAGCGUGUAUGUGAAGCAAUAAGAUAUGCUAGCCGUACACCAGAACAAAUCCAAGCAAGGCGAGAACGUGUUAGAGCACGUCGGCAAAAUUUAACACCUGCUGAGAGGGAAAAGAUUAAUGCACAAAGAAGAGAGAAAAGACAACGAAUGGCACUUGAUGAGAGGAAUGCAAGCCAACGAGCACGUAGGCAAAGUUUGACAAUAGAUGAGAGGCAAGAAAUAAAUGCACGCCGGCGAGCACGUAGGCAAAGCCUACCACCUGAAGAGCGGCAAGCACUCCUAGCUCAACGUAAUGCAAGCUACGCAUCUAAACGAGAUGCCCUCUGCAGGGAUUCUGUUGCACUACAGUGCCCUACAGGUUCAUUGAUGGGACAUCCAUCAUCAAGUUCUUAUGUCUUUAGCCACCCAGGAGAUGAUGAUACUAUCCAGCACAUGGAACUCACAUCAGUGCAAUGUCCAACAUCUACUUCAGUGGACAAUCCAUCAUCACCCCAUGAUGGUUUCGUAUAUUCAGAUUCCCCAAUAGAAAGCUUUGUCGCCGAUGAUGAUGAUUCUCACAUGUCUGAAGAACAAGACGAUGAGUACUUCACAUUUGCUGGGAGAGGUGACGAUGAAGACUUGGUAGAUGCCUUUACAACAGACACCAUUGUCCCUGACCUAUAUGAUCGUGUCUACCACAAUACCAGUAAGUACUCACAUGUUGACACCAAAACCUGAUUGCAAUCACUGUGGUGCAAAGAGGUUCCAGUAUGAAACAAGUGGAUUUUGUUGUCGGUCCAGAAAGAUUAACCUAGCACACUCAGAACCUCCCUUGGAACUUCAAAUGUUAUACACAAGUUCAGAUCCCAAUGCCGUGCAUUUUAGGGAGAACAUUCGGUACUUUAAUGGACACUUCUCAUUCACCACCCUUGGAGUCAGUCUGGACAAUAAAUACACAAACAUGAGUUCAGGAGUGUAUACGUUCCGAGCUCACGGUCAGAUUUACCACAACGUCUUCUCAUUUGGUCCAACUCAAGAUGGACCUAAGCAUUUGGAGCUCUACUUCUAUGAUGAUGAUCCCAGUUUACAACAUAGGUUUCGGCGCUCCCCAAACCUAGACCGAGAUGUCAUUCGUAAGCUUGUCGACAUCCUCAAGGAUAAUCCUUAUUCUGAGACAUUCAGGAAUCUAGGUGGAGUCGAUGACCUUGAGGAAUACCGUAUUGAACUAAACACCGACAUGAGGUUGGACCAACGGAGAUAUAACUUGCCUAUAUCAUCGGAGGUUGCGGCUAUUUGGGUUGAGGGUAAUGAACUAUGUAAGCACUUUGAUCGUAGCAUAGUACUGUUUGGUAACGACAACAAGAGAUAUAGCAUCCAGCCAUAUUAUGGAUGAUAUGAUCCGUUGUCUUACCCUUUAUUCUUUCCAAGAGGGGAGAUUGGUUGGCAUCCCGAAAUCCCAAAGAAUGGCGUCAACUUGAAUGAGAUACUUCAAUCUCGUCGCAGUGGUCGACAUAGUCUAGGUAAUUCAUAUAACGGAAAUAGCAUGUGUUCAUUUUGUUUAUCCUCAUUGUACUUACUUUUCUUAAUAUUUCCUCUUGUUACCUCUCAUUUCCAUAGGUACAUAUACAAAUAGUCGAUUAUGCGUAUUUGUUAGAGACUACUAUUGCUACAAGUUUCAAAUACGUCGUGGUGUAUUUAACACCAUGCUAUACGGUAAACGACUGUUCCAACAGUAUGUGGUUGAUAUGUACAUCAAGGUUGAAAGCUCAAGAUUGGACUAUAUCAGAAAUCACCAGAAACAAAUACGUGCUAAUCUAUACCAAGGUGUUGUUGAUAGCCUUCAAGCUGGGGAAAACCGUGCGGAUGAAGUGGGCAAAUGGACUAUACUUCCUACAUCAUUUAUUGGGGGAAAAAGAGAUAGGAGACGAAGGUAUCUUGAUGCCAUGGCCUUGGUGCAAAAGUAUGGGAAACCAGAUAUAUUUUUAACCAUGACUUGCAAUCCAAAUUGGGAUGAGAUAAUUAGUGAGCUAGAGCCUGGACAAACCCCAUAGGAUCGCCCUGAUCUUAUCGUACGAGUAUUUCGAGCAAAGUUGGAAGACCUCAAGAUACAACUUUUUAAGAAGCACAUGCUCGGUAAGGUAGCAACAUAUGUGUAUGUCGUUGAGUUUCAGAAAAGAGGUCUACCACAUGCUCAUUUCCUCCUAAUCAUGAAGGGGAGGUACAAGCUAACUUGCCCAGAGCAAUAUGACUGUCUAAUAUCUGCUGAAUUGCCAGACAAAUCCAAGUACCCAGAGUUGUACAAAAUGGUCGUCAAGCACAUGAUGCAUGGCCCUUGUGGAGUCCUCAACCCCAAGAACGUGUGCAUGCAAAAUGGUAGCUGCAAGAACUACUAUCCACAACCAUUUAAUGCGUCAACCCUUCAGGGAAAGGACUCAUAUCCCAUAUACCGGAGGAGAGAUGAUGGACGUCGUGCGAAGGUACGGGGUGAAGAUUUAGACAAUAGGUGGGUUGUUCCAUACAAUCCUUACCUACUAAGAAGGUAUAACUGCCACAUCAAUGUUGAGGUUUGCUCAAGCAUAAAAGCUGUGAAGUACCUCUUUAAAUACAUAUAUAAGGGGCAUGAUCGAGCAUCUGUUUCUAUCGACGCGGUGGAUAGUGACGGAAACAUUGAUGAAAUAAAGAAAUACAGAGAUUCCAGAUGGGUUACACCACCAGAAGCAUUAUGAAGGAUCUAUGGUUUUGACCUUAGUGAGAUAUUUCCUUCUGUUAGGCAGCUACAACUCCACCUCCCUAAUAUGCACAUGGUGUCAUUCCCGGCGGGCGCAAAUCUGAAUGAUGUCCUCUCCCAGGAAGGAGCUUCCAAGACCAUGCUAACCGAGUAUUUUGAAGCAAACAAGAAGUAUGAGUUGGCCCGGGGAAUUUUAUAUAAGGAUUUUCCGGCAUCUUUUAUUUGGAUCUCGGGUGGAAAGUAUUGGAAAAGGAGGGAUGAACGCACACAGAUCGGGAGAAUUGUAUCUGCUCAUCCAGCCGAAGGGGAGAGGUAUUAUCUUAGAGUGCUUCUAAACCAUGUCACAGGUGCUACAUCUUUCCAAGACCUAAGGACAAUGGAUGGUAUUGUUUUCCCGACAUUUCGUGAAGCUGUUGAAAGGAGGGGUCUUAUCGAGUCAGAUAAUACUAUUGACGAGUGUCUUAAUGAAGCUGAGGUUUUUCAGAUGCCAUCUUCCCUUUGAAGGCUAUUUGCCACUAUAUUGGUCUUUUGUGAGCCCAGUAAUGUGCGUGGUCUAUGGGACAGGCACUUGGAAGCUAUGACAGAAGACUAUCGACUAAACCACAUGUCCCCUCAUGCAGUUGAGCAGAUGGCUUUGUUAGAUAUAAAAAGUAUGCUUGAAUCGAUGGGGAAGGACAUAUCAUCAUUCCCUCUUCCAGAAAUUGAUGAGUCGUAUGAUGGCUCAAAUAACGAGGCUAGGGAGAUCACAGAGGAGUCGACGAUAGGGGUGAACCCAGAACACCUUGGCUUUUCAUCUUUCCUAAACCCAGAACAGAGAUAUGCAUAUGAUGAGAUACUUGCAACAAUCAAUAGUGGCCAAGGAGGUGUGUUCUUUGUUGAUGGACCAGAAGGCACUGGAAAGACUUAUCUAUACAAAGCACUACUUGCAAAAGUACGUGGUGAGGGUAAAAUAGCUAUUGCAACAGCGACAUCAGGCGUUGCUGCAUCCAUCUUGCCCGGCGGGAGGACUGCACACUCAAGGUUUAAAAUACCAUUGAACAUUGAAGAUGGUGGAGUUUGCAGCUUCACCAAGCAAAGUGGGACAGCUAAGCUUCUUAUGAGCGCCUCCCUCAUAAUUUGGGAUGAGGCCUCCAUGACAAGGAGACAGGCAGUCGAGGCCCUUGAUAAUAGCAUGAGGGACAUCAUGGCUCAACCUGACCUGCCAUUUGGCGGAAAGACUGUCGUGUUUGGGGGAGAUUUCAGACAAGUGCUUCCUGUUGUUCGCAAGGGAACAAGGUCACAAAUAAUUGACGCGACGCUACGCAAGUCUUACCUUUGGGAGAGUAUGAGACAUAUAAGACUUGUCCGUAAUAUGAGGGCUCAAAGUGAUCCAUGGUUUGCUGAUUAUCUUCUGCGUGUUGGGAAUGGCACCGAAGAUACUAUGGAUGAUGGUUACAUACGAUUCCCAGAUGAGAUUUGUGUACCAUAUACCGGCGUUGCCUCUGAUAUUGACAAGCUUAUUGAAAGUGUUUUCCCGAUGACGCUAGAUGAAAACCUCUUGGAUCCAAACUACAUAACGUCCCGAGCAAUUCUAUCAACUCGGAAUGAGUAAGUUGACAAAAUCAAUAUGAGGAUGAUUGAGAGAUUUCCUGGGGAGGAGAUGAUAUACUAUAGUUUUGAUCGCGCGGAGGAUGAUCCACACAACUACUACCCUGCAGAAUUCUUGAAUUCAUUGACACCUAAUGGUCUACCUCCCCAUAUCCUCAAGUUGAAGAUUAAUUGUCCUAUUAUAUUGUUACGGAACAUUGACCCAGCGAGUGGGUUGUGCAACGGGACGAGGCUGAUUGUCCGAGGGUUCAUGAGGAAUGCAAUUGAUGCUGAGAUUGUGCUGGGCCAGCAUGCCGGUAAGAGGGUGUUCCUUCCUCGAAUUCCUCUUUGCCCAUCAGAUGAUGAGAUGUUUCCAUUUAGGUUCAAGAGGAAGCAGUUUCCAGUCAGGCUUAGCUUUGCUAUGACCAUUAACAAGGCACAGGGACAAACUAUACCAAAUGUUGGUGUAUACCUCCCUGAACCGGUAUUUUCACACGGGCAACUCUAUGUUGCUCUUUCUAGAGCUAUAUCAAGAAGUAAUAUGAAGAUUCUUACUGUCCCAGAAAAGCAAAAGGAAGGCCAAACCAACUCCAAUGCAAAUUUUACAAAGAACAUAGUCUACAAAGAAGUUCUCAGCGUGUAGUUCAAGGUGAGCAGAUGGAUGAUGUGAGAGGCCCAAAACUAAUAUGGUUGGCAUAAAUGUUUUGAGCAAACAGCUAAAGAGGAGUUCACAGGGCUUGCAUUUGACGAAGCCACUAUUCGAAGGAUGCUGGCACAUGGCACAUCAUUUUGCCAUAGUAAUCUUGCUUAUGGAGCCCGAUUAUUUUGGUUGUACUUGUAUGUACUCAUGUAUGCAAGUUAUGCACCAAGUGUUUUAUUUUAUUGUUUUCUCUUUUCUCAUGUGAGUUAUCGUGGCUUGUUACUGGAUGUGAUAUGUUUGUGAGGUGCUCAAUGUCUUUACCAUUUCUAGCAGAUAAUUGUGUGCGGGCUGGAGUUGUAGUCCAUGUUAAGCAAACAGAAGCCAAAGACAGGCAAAUGGAGAGAUAAAGCUGGUGAAUGUUGUCACAGUUGCUACGUGUGUAAGUUGCUACGUGUGUAGACGAAUUUUAUAUUUGCCGCAUGCUCUCCCCUUGAUAUAGGAUAGAGCGAGCAAUUAGAGAGUUGUGUAGGGAGAAGGUCUUCCUACGAGAUGUAGAUGGACAA